UACAGCAUAUUCAGCUUUCAUUGAUCAGUUACUUGGAACCCUUCCAAUAUAUCGAUCCAACAUAACUCAAAAAUACAUACUAAUGCAGAUAUUCUACCAUCAAUGUAUCCUCUCACUCUUAGCUCUAAUCUUUCUCCAAAGAUCAAAAAUAAAUCCUUAGUACUUUUCAAGUACUUAGAGAUAUUUUUCACAGCAAUCCAGUACUCUUAGCCU
rnacentral:lncRNA from 1 species